CCCCUGCUGAGGCGCCGACCACCGCCGCCCAAACCCUUCCCUCCCAAACCGAUCCCCUCCGCCGCCUGCGCCCCGCCCCUCUCGCCCGCACGAAAUCCCGGCCGGCGCCCGACCACCGCGGAAUCACGCGCGCGCGACUGCCGACGACCCAGGAGAGUCUCCCCCCGCGCUCGUCCGCGUCCGCGACACCGAGCACACGAUCAAGAUGAGAGGUCACUAGGGAAGGAAAAGUUGAAAAUCCAGAUAGGAACAUAUCAUAAUUCAUAAGGCUUCUUAAUAAUGUUAAAGAGAUAAGUGAUGUACCUCCUGUUCCCUCUCUGAUAUAUUGGCUUUGUUCUUCGUUGAAAUUGUCCUUUCUGAGGAUUUUUUUCUCCAAAGCCAUGUUUUAUUAUCCAUUAGUGAGAUGCUAAAUAUCUAUCAAUAUUCAACGCCGUUCUAAACUCCCUAGAAAUUAAUAAGAAAUAUAAAUGUUAGUAAGAUAUAUUCCCACCAAAUUGUACAAAAGGUGGAUACAGACAGAACAUUUCCUUGGGUGCUAUUCUAUUAAGAAACUGAAAUUGUGUGUAUCAAGUCAUCUUUGCAAAACUAUCCCAAGCUAACAUAAUCUGAAAGCAAGUUGUAUUUUAUCCCAGUUAAAUUCAUAUAAUUAUAUCGUAUACACGUUAGUUUUUUAUUCCAUGAGACAAGGUUGAAAAAUACAAGAAUUUGGACUCGUGGACUAAAACAAAGAAAUCCCUUUGAACACUUUCUAAGCUUAAUAAAAACUUUGGCUGGCGUAUGCCAGCUCAGCAAGUAUUUUGUUAACCAAUGAUUGUUCAGAAGUAAAGUACUGUUAAUUAUCUGCCAUGUUAAUAGAAAUUGACCACUAUCUAAUCUACUAUUCAUGAUUAAUAAGUUUCUUCAUCAGCUAACCAUAAUAUCAUUUUCCUUUCAAUGCAGAAAGCGAUGCUCAGCUCAGAAAAGAAAGUAAAGGAUAUAGUGAAGCUUGUUCUGUUCCACUCUCUUUGUACCUACCACUUCAAAAGCUUCUGUGUCAGCUCCAAUAGUGGAAGCCCAUUGACAUUGAACCUAUCACUUUGAUCCAGAAGCGUCACCAACCGAUGCAAUUAAAACCAGCCGGUACAAAGGCAUUUAUGUGACUCAGGAGAGUUCAUUGCCAGCUUGCCACAGUACAAAAUGAUUUUCGUGAGCACAUUCAUCAAUAGUGUAGAGAAGGGAUCAGUGAUGACAGAAGAAUACUAGUUGUUGGCACAUAUAGUACUACCGCUACUACAAUGGUUUACUUAGUGAUUAAUUACAUGGAUAUUGGAUAACUAACCUGAGAGUGGAUAGGACCUGCAGCAGUGGCCCAUAAGGAGGGCGUGCAUCAGUGGCAUCGACCACCGUCAGCUUAGAACGUUUGUGAGGUUUACCCACCUAAAUGAUUGGCACUUAUCACAUGUAUUAAUGGUUUGAUGCAUGAAUCAAGGGACAGCGGAUUGAAAGUACGGACAACUUGUUUGUGCUACUUACGUUGGAAGUGUACACCUCAAGCUAGUGUGACAUCGGUUCAUCAAUCCAUCUGUCGGGCUGUCUUGCGCACCACCAGGAGGAAAGAUUGCCAGCUAUGUUCCUAAAGCGACACAUAUAUUUGCUGCACGAUAAAUUUAGCGUCAUAUACCAGUCAGUGGCAUCAAUCUUAAUUCACAGUCCACAAGCCAACAGAUCUGUGAAAUGGAUCGGUCAGUGUCUCAGUGGCUGAUUACUUCAACGAUUAGCUCCACGCAGAUGCAGUCAAACGCUAAUUUGACAAUCUGCUGUAACGGUCGUUGGACAGAUCGCAGAGGUGACAAGUGGGGUUCCAUGCAGCGCAGUGCAGUACCACGGACAAGCCUUUUCUCUGAAGCAAAAUAUGAAGAAAAGUAACCCGUUGAGAAGAGAAGAAGAAUUUACUUCGAGUAAAAGGCUGAGCUGAACAUCCAGGUCCAGUCCAUGCAGGCUGGCCCGGUGCCAAUCUGCUGGACCACCAGCCCAUAGCCAAACCAAGCUAAGUAGACUUUUGGGUCCACCGGUCCAUCCCGCCGCAUCCGUGGAGUCACGUGUCCUCAUCGCUCGCCCCAUGCUGCAAUUGCGGCCCUGUCCCGGGUUUGAUGGGCCAAUCGCGCGGGCGCGCAUGGGCAAAACAGCCUCGCCGACCGCCGCGUCGCGCGUUGCGGGUGGGCUCCGUGCCCGUGCCGCCGCGACGACGAUCUCCUCGGUGGCGGCGUCUCCGCCUGUCGUACGCGUGAUGCCGCGCGCGCCGAGCCGAACAAGUAAACAACCGAUCGGUCCGCAUCACCCGCCGUCGAUCGGUGAGACGGUGAGUACGUAAUCCAAGUGAUGCACGGGCCGUAUGCACGCGUGCUGUGCCGGUCAUAUGUAUACGCCCCAGAAAAAUGAUUUCAUCCGUAAAGCGGCGGCGGCGGCGGCGGCUUGGAACGACACACGUCCCAUUCUUGCGUCAUUACAAUCGGUGUGUUGAUUAUGCCGUCGGCUUCACAGCUCACACAAGUCGCCCAUGUACGCCUCAGGGUCAUCUCACGCGCACUUGUGCCCGUGCUAAAGACAAGUUCUUCGAUCGUCGGUGGUGCCAAAGUCUAAGCUUGCACGACGGUUCUACAGGAGAUUAGUGCCGCCCGGCCGGCCUGGAACCACAAUUUCAAGGGGGCUUGCUCGGACAAUUAUACUUGGCAUUAUUGAUUAUGGCUCAAGAGUACUAUACAUCAUA